AGACCACAAAGUCACAUGGCACAGGGGUCAAAGAUUUAUCGCUUAUGGAUGGGCUCGCGUCUGAUUAGCUACUUGGCAGGGUAAAGGCCUACCAAGGCGACGAUCAGUAGCCGACCUGAGAGGGUGAUCGGCCACACUGGAACUGAGACACGGUCCAGACUCUUACGGGAGGCAGCACUGGGGAAUAUUGGGCAAUGGGGGAAACCCUGACCCAGCAACGCCGCGUGAGGGAAGAAGGCUUUCGAGUUGUAAACCUCUGUCUUAUGGGAAGAAGAAGUGACAGUACCAUAGGAGGAAGCUCCGGCUAACUACGUGCCAGCAGCCGCGGUAAUACGUAGGGAGCAAGCGUUGUCCGGAAUUACUGGGCGUAAAGGGUGCGUAGGCGGCGCAGUGAGUCAGAAGUGAAAUAUCCGGGGCUUAACCCCGGGGCUGCUUCUGAUACUGCUGUGCUUGAGUGCAGGAGAGGUAAGCGGAAUUCCUAGUGUAGCGGUGAAAUGCGUAGAUAUUAGGAGGAACACCAGUGGCGAAGGCGGCUUACUGGACU
rnacentral:rRNA from 1 species